rnacentral:rRNA from 1 species
GACGAACGCUGGCGGCGUGCCUAACACAUGCAAGUCGAACGGGGUAAUGACUUCGGUUAUUACUUAGUGGCGAACGGGUGAGUAACGCGUGAGGAACCUGCCUUUCAGUGGGGGACAACAGUUGGAAACGACUGCUAAUACCGCAUAAUGUAUCGAUGGGGCAUCCUGUUGAUACCAAAGAUUUAUUGCUGAAAGAUGGUCUCGCGUCUGAUUAGCUAGUUGGUGAGGUAACGGCUCACCAAGGCGACGAUCAGUAGCCGGUCUGAGAGGAUGAACGGCCACAUUGGGACUGAGAUACGGCCCAGACUCCUACGGGAGGCAGCAGUGGGGAAUAUUGGGCAAUGGGGGAAACCCUGACCCAGCAACGCCGCGUGAAGGAAGAAGGCCUUCGGGUUGUAAACUUCUUUUACCAGGGACGAAGAACGUGACGGUACCUGGAGAAAAAGACAAACGGCUAACUACGUG